GNUAANGCNNUAAGUUAUCNNCCNGGGGAAGUACGGUUNGNCAAGAAUUAAAACUUCAAAGGGAAUUUGACGGGGGGCCUGCACCAAGCCGGUGGAGGCAUGUGGUUUUUAAUUUCGAAGGCAACGCGCAGAACCCUUACCCAGGCGUUUUGACANGUCUUAGUUAUGGUUUUCCCAGAGAUGGGAUUCCUUCAGUUAGGCUGGCUAGAACCACAGGUGCUGCAUGGCUGUCGGUCAGCUCGUGUCGUGAGAUGUUGGGUUAAGUCCCGCAACGAGCGCAACCCUCGACCUUAGUUNCCAUCAUUUAGUUGGGGACUCUUAAGGUAACCGCCGGUGAUAAGCCGGAGGAAGGUGGGGAUGACGUCAAGUCCUCAUGGCCCUUACGNGCUGGGCUACACACGUGCUACAAUGNNAAGUACAGUGGGCAGCAAGACCGCGAGGUUGAGCUNAUCUCCAAAACUUGUCUCAGUUCGGAUUGUUCUCUGCNACUCGAGANNAUNNAAGGCGGNAUNNCUAGGUAAUCGCGGCAUCAGCAUGCCGCGGNGAAUACGUUCCCAGGCCUUGAUNACCACACCCGCCCGU
rnacentral:rRNA from 1 species